UGCAACUUCCAAGUGUUCUGCGAGGUUUACCUUGGAGAAGAACCUAGUCUGCUGCUCUUCAGAGAGCUUUUUUACUUGAACCGUCAGAAUGAGUGCGCCAAUGGGCCAAGUCUAGAGCUAGGUGGCAUCUCCAUUCAGCGGCGAAGGGACUGCCUUUUCCCUUACGCAGAGCCGCCCAGCCACCCCAAGGACUGGAAUCUGACGUGGUUUUACUGCCAAGACACGUCGCCGGCUGAUGAAAGUCCGUUGCCCGGCUUUCGCCCCUCACAUCUGGAGCCGACUCACCCACUGUCAGACAAGCUGACUCAAGCGGAGCGCCAACCUCUGCUCCCCACUAUCAACAAGAUCAAAGCUCUCCUGAGCAAUGGUCUGAAUGGAAUCGAUCUGGUCCGGGUCUGGAUCUCGUGGCGGGUGAUCCCAUUGAGCCGCCGCCCCAGCUUAAUGUGUGAAUACACGGGCCGAAAGGACGACCCUCAGAGACACAGCCGCAAUGAUCUUCCUGAAGACGUUGCAGAAGAGAUGACCAAGGCUCUCUUGAACGAGAGCCUGGCAGACUGCGGAAGGACCGGGUUAGCCCCCUUCUGCAAGACCAACCCAGCCCCAGCGGAUGAUGACAAGUUCUGGCGGGUCAAA
rnacentral:rRNA from 1 species